rnacentral:pre_miRNA from 1 species
UCAACAAAGUGGAGGAUUGGGUCCUCACUUUAUAUUCAAAAUAGUGAGAUUCUGAUUCUCCAUUUAAUUGU